rfam:Schistosoma curassoni strain Dakar, Senegal genome assembly, scaffold: SCTD_scaffold0003927
AUUCAGCCGAUGAGUCCAAAUUAGGACGAAACGCGCGUUCUGGAU